rnacentral:rRNA from 2 species
UCCAGAGAUGGAUUUGUGCCUUCGGGAACUGUGAGACAGGUGCUGCAUGGCUGUCGUCAGCUCGUGUUGUGAAAUGUUGGGUUAAGUCCCGCAACGAGCGCAACCCUUAUCCUUUGUUGCCAGCGGUUAGGCCGGGAACUCAAAGGAGACUGCCAGUGAUAAACUGGAGGAAGGUGGGGAUGACGUCAAGUCAUCAUGGCCCUUACGACCAGGGCUACACACGUGCUACAAUGGCGCAUACAAAGAGAAGCGACCU